GCUCCCAGCGUCCCAGAGCCUUGAAAGCACCAGGAUCUGGGACUCCGUGGGAAUACGCACUAUGGUGUGACUCUGGAGCUGUGAAGUGAAAUGAGCUAUACAGAAAGGACCCUGCAAGCUCUAAAAACCCCCAAAAGACAGAGGUGAGCUGGCAGUAAAAUUUGUGCAAUUAAAUCAGCAGAUAACCUAUGGUUUGUCAGAAGUUCAUGUACACUGAGACACAUCUCUAAAACAGCAAGAAAGAGACAUUUUUUCCACAGAAAACCACAUCAUUGAAAAAAUUCCUAGCACAUUUCAAAGCUGCAAUCAGUAACUGAGCAGAAAUCCAGCUUUAGGAUUGGAAAAGGGAUUUUGUUCUUUGUUGGUCCUUUAGUGGCUUACACAGCUCCAGUGCUGAGGACUGAAGGGAUUGCAGAUGACUCCCAAGAAUCUAAUGGUCCCAGUGAGACAGAGAGAAGAGAGAGGCAGGUAAUCUCUUUCCAUUAAGAGGAGCCUCUCAUUGGGAAAUAUAUCUUAUUUUAUCAGUUUUAGCUUCAGCUGAUCUUUUUUACCUCUUUUUGUUGAGACCCACUUCACUUUAUGGUAAACCUUCAAAACCCAUGUGGCAGAAUUUGUGCCCACCAGAACAAGAAGCGUCUAGCAAGAUGAGCUACGAGGGUGGUUAUACCCACAAGAAUGAAACAAUACUCAACACAUUUCCUCUUAUCAUGGAACUUACCAAAAGAUCACUUAAACUGAUGGCACUCCUUCUAUGGACUUCAACAAGCUUUGGAUCAGAUGAAUCCUGCACAGUAUCAACACCUGAGAUCUCAGUUCCUGUGACUUUUGUUGCUAUAACGCCUCCUAUCAUGUGCUUGCGUGUUCAUUGUGGCUGCUUGUCCUGCGUGGCCGCCGCCUCGCCGACUCCGACGUCUCGGCCGGGCCCCCGCGUUGUGGCUGCUCCGCGCUCUCCGACCGGCGCUGCUCCGGCGCGUGUCUGGGCUCUGCGCGGCCCCGCGUUGCCAUCGCUGCUGGCUCCGUGGCCUGUGAGUGGUUCCGCUCUGCAAACUCCACGCUGCUUUGAGUGCGGCCCCGUUCCGGCUCGGUGCUGCGCUGCGCGGCUUCUCGUGUCGCUGUGGAAACCGCUGCUUCUCCCUCCGCAGGGCUCUUCGAGCCAUGUGCUCAGAGCGGCCUGCCACGCCGAUGCCCGGUUCCUGGCUGCUCGUGGCCCACGGCACCCGCGGCGCCUGCGGCAUUGCUCCCUCACUCGCUGUCGCGUGGCCGGGGACCCCGAGACAGGGAUGGGGUCCGCGAUAAGGCGCGCGCUCCCGAGGGGGCCGGGCGCAUCCAGCACAGGCACCUCCGCCGGCACGGCUGCAGUCAUGUGCUCCCGGGAUGGCGGCCGCGCGGCCUCGGCCACAGGAUAA
rnacentral:lncRNA from 1 species